UACGUAGGGGCCUAGCGUUGUCCGGAUUUAUUGGGCGUAAAGAGCUCGUAGGCGGUUCAGUCAGUCGGGUGUGAAAUCUCCGGGCUCAACCCGGAGGGGCCACCCGAUACUGCUGUGACUCGAGUCCGGUAGGGGAGUGGGGAAUUCCUGGUGUAGCGGUGAAAUGCGCAGAUAUCAGGAGGAACACCGGUGGCGAAGGCGCCACUCUGGGCCGGUACUGACGCUGAGGAGCGAAAGCGUGGGUAGCAAACAGG
rnacentral:rRNA from 1 species